AAAAGAUGAAAAGAUGGAGACAGCUCAGCACAGCUGCUAUUAGUUGUGAUUGGUUUAUGGCUGAACUACUAUCAUAAUCGAAGAUACAAAUCCCAAUCAGUGAACUCCUGGAAAUGCUAAGGAUUCUUGAAAUUCCUAUGGUUAGACCUUUUGGAAGAUUACUUCAACUGCUCGAAGGAGUGGAACCUGAAGACAUGCUAGCCAAGAGAAAAAAUGAUGUGCAGCGACUGGAUGGAUUAUGCCUCCUGCCAAGCUGUGCCCUGAUGACUCCUGCACUGGACUGCUGAGGCGAGUGCUCAGUCCCUGCAAGAGCCCAGGGCUGUGUCUGAAUAAGCAGGGGACCAGCCAGCAGGAAAGGAGAGAGGCAGGAGAGCCCCACAGCCCUGGACCACCUCUUGCCCUCCUCCUAACUGUGAGAUGCCCCUUGCUGGCCCAACCCAAUCACAGGGGCCUUGGGGCCAAGUUCCCAGCCCUCCCUGCAUCCUGGGAAGGAGCCAACACCGUCUUGCUGCCGGCCACCCCACC